AGUUAACAAUAAGGACAUUGAGAAUAAGAAACGAGGACCAGAAAAGGAUAAAACCUCGUGAGAGGAGUUCAAUUUAGGUCGCUUGCGAAGAAUGCGGAAUUCAUCAUCACCAGAAUCGUCAACCUCCAACUUGACCUUUUUGAGGCA